rnacentral:lncRNA from 1 species
GGAUUAGACUGUCUACUAAACCCAAAUGAACAAAAUUCUAAUGGAAAAUGUAGUUUCAGUCACAAUUUUUGUCUGACAAAACCACAGCGCAUUGGAGAGGGUGAUGGUGUGUGUGGUUGUUUGUUUGAGGGAUGUAGUUUCCUUUGCUCUAACAGAAACUAUACUACGGCCAGUAAAGUAAUCACAGAUGCAGUACUAUUGGUUGAUAGAUGACAUUGAAUUCAUCCAACGCAUCAGCAAAACAGGGGUCAUUAUCAAUUGUAGCCUACAGGGGUAUUUGUUUUCAUGUGUUUUCAGGUGUUUUUCAGGAGUAUGUAUUUUCAGGUGUUUUCAGGAGUAUGUGUUUUCAGGUGUUUUCAGGAGUAUGUGUUUUCAGGUGUUUUCAGGAGUAUGUGUUUUCAGGAGUAUGUGUUUUCAGGAGUAUGUGUUUUCAGGUGUUUUCAGGACUAUGUGUUUUCAGGUGUUUUCAGGAGUAUGUGUUUUCAGGUGUUUUUAGGAGUAUGUGUUUUUAGGAGUAUUUGUUUUCAGGUGUUUUUAGGAGUAUGUGUUUUCAGGUGUUUUCAGGAGUAUGUGUUUUCAGGAGUAUGUGUUUUCAGGUGUUUUCAGGAGUAUGUGUUUUCAGGAGUAUGUGUUUUCAGGAGUAUGUGUUUUCAGGAGUAUGUGUUUUCAGGUGUUUUCAGGAGUAUGUGUUUUCAGGAGUAUGUGUUUUCAGGAGUAUGUGUUUUCAGUUGUUUUCAGGAGUAUGUGUUUUCAGGAGUAUGUGUUUUCAGGAGUAUGUGUUUUCAGGUGUUUUCAGGAGUAUGUGUUUUUAGGAGUAUGUAUUUUCAGGUGUUUUUUAGGAGUAUGUAUUUUCAGGUGUUUUCAGGAGUAUGUGUUUUCAGGAGUAUGUGUUUUCAGGUGUUUUUCAGGAGUAUGUGUUUUCAGGUGUUUUUCAGGAGUAUGUGUUUUCAGGUGUUUUUUAGGAGUAUGUAUUUUCAGGUGUUUUCAGGAGUAUGUGUUUUCAGGUGUUUUUUAGGAGUAUGUGUUUUCAGGAGUAUGUGUUUUCACGUGUUUUCAGGGGUAUGUGUUUUCAGGAGUAUGUGUUUUCAGGAGUAUGUGUUUUCAGGAGUAUGUGUUUUCAGGAGUAUGUGUUUUCAGGUGUUUUCAGGAGUAUGUGUUUUCAGGAGUAUGUGUUUUCAGGUGUUUUCAGGAGUAUGUGUUUUCAGGAGUAUGUGUUUUCAGGUGUUUUCAGGAGUAUGUGUUUUCAGGAGUAUGUGUUUUCAGGAGUAUGUGUUUUCAGGUGUUUUCAGGAGUAUGUGUUUUCAGGAGUAUGUGUUUUCAGGUGUUUUCAGGAGUAUGUGUUUUCAGGUGUUUUCAGGAGUAUGUGUUUUCAGGAGUAUGUGUUUUCAGGUGUUUUCAGGAGUAUGUGUUUUCAGGUGUUUUCAGGAGUAUGUGUUUUCAGGAGUAUGUGUUUUCAACAAAAAGGGGCCAGUUCAGGUCGAAAUAGGAGAACUUCGGAUAGUAAACUUAUUCCUAGGUGUGUUAGCAAUAUUCAAAUCCGAGAUCAAGAUACUAGCAUGUGUAAUCCAUUCCGGUAUAUUCCACUUCGUGCUGAUGCUGUUUGGACUCAGUUCGGCCCCCAGCUGUAUACAGAAGGGACCGAAGCAAUCCAUCAUUGCUUUGGUCCCUGCAGUGGCCUGAUUUCUACUGUACACUCUACUUCACUUCAUGCUGGUGUACAUUUGGUUUCCAUUUUACUAUGAGAUUUCCAUAGCUAUGGUA